GUGUUGUGUGAAAGGAGAGAAGGACUCCUCUUGACAAGAAUGGAAGAGGCCUUCGGGCCUGCACACGUGCAUACAGCUAAGGCAUUGCCACCUACUUUGUGGUAUCUAACCAUCAUUUUUA
ensembl:snRNA